rnacentral:rRNA from 1 species
UACGUAGGGUGCGAGCGUUAAUCGGAAUUACUGGGCGUAAAGCGUGCGCAGGCGGUUUUGUAAGUCAGAUGUGAAAUCCCCGGGCUUAACCUGGGAACUGCGUUUGAAACUACAAGGCUAGAGUGUGGCAGAGGGGGGUGGAAUUCCACGUGUAGCGGUGAAAUGCGUAGAGAUCUGGAGGAACACCGAUGGCGAAGGCAGCCUUCUGGGCCAACACUGACGCUCAUGCACGAAAGCGUGGGGAGCAAACAGG